rnacentral:rRNA from 1 species
AGCAGCCGCGGUAAUUCCAGCUCCAAUAGCGUAUAUUAAAGUUGUUGCAGUUAAAAAGCUCGUAGUUGAAUUUCGGAGUUUGUCGGUUGGUCGGGCUUCACUGUCCGCACUGACCUGAUGGAUUCCUACCUUCUGAAUAACCAGCAUGCUAUUAAGUUAGUGCGUUGGGGAAGCAGAGCUAUUACCUUGAAAAAUUAGAGUGCUUAAAGCAGGCUUACGCUUGAAUAGAUUAGCAUGGAAUAAUAAAAUAGGACGGCAUGGUUCUAUUUUGUUGGUUUCUAGGAUCACCGUAAUGAUUAAUAGGGAUAGUUGGGGGCAUUAGUAUUCAAUUGUCAGAGGUGAAAUUCUUGGAUUUAUUGAAGACUAACUUCUGCGAAAGCAUUUGCCAAGGAUGUUUUCAUUAAUCAAGAACGAAAGUUAGGGGAUCGAAGACGAUCAGAUACCGUCGUA